ensembl:lincRNA
CUAUGGUUUUCCCUGGAGUCACGUAGGGAUGGGAAAUUUGGACCAUAAAGAAGCUGAGUGCCGAAGAACUGAUGCUUUCGAACUGUGGUGUUGGAGAAGACUUUUGAGAGUCCCUUGGACAGCAGGGAGAUCCAACCAGUCAAUCCUAAAGGAAAUACACCCUGAAUAUUGGAAGGACUGAUGCUGAAGCUGAAGCUCCGGUAGUUUGGCCACUGAUUCGAAAAGCUGACUCAUUGGGAAAGACCUUGAUGCUGGAAAAGAUUGACGGCAAGGGGAGAAGGGGGUGAUAGAGGAUGAGAUGGUUGGAUGAAAUCACCAUCUCAGUGGGCAUGAGUUUGAGUAAACUCUGAGAGUUAGUGAAGAACAGGGAAGCCUGGAGUGCUGCAGUCCACGGAGUUGCAAAGAGCUGGAUUUGACUUAGCGACUGAACAACAACUCUUUGACCAGCUGAUCACCAGUAGCCCUGUUGAUGAUGUUGAUGAUGAAGAUGACUGCUGUUGGUGGUCUCACUUUAUAAAUAAGGAAACUGGAGUCACUGUACCUGUCAGCUACCAACUGGCACUUACCAAGAGCAUUGCCAGUGACCGAAGGACAAAGGCAUUUGCCCUCCGCCUCGACAGAGAUCCCUGUAGCUCAAACGGUAAGGAAUCUACUUGCGAUGCAGGAGACCAGAAAUCGAUCCCUGGGUCGGGAAGUUCCUCUGGAGAAGGGAAUGGCAACCCACUCCAGUAUUCUUGCCUGGAGAACUCCAAGGACAGAGAAGGCUGGCGGGCUACAGUCCGCUCGGUUGCAAAGAGUCAGACUCGUACUGAGCGACUAACACACACCUCUACAGAGACUGAACCCUGUGCUGGUAUAGCCGUUGACCUUCAACAACCCCCGAGGGAGUUCAGGGUGGAGUGAGGCGCUCUGUGCUUCAGGGAAUCUGGUGGGACAGGUCUUUAGACAGUUGGAUGUUUUUAGGAACAGAUUUUAUGAUCUCAAUCCUUGCAGUCUCCUCAUAUUUAGAGAAGCACUAAAUCCUUUCAAGGUGACGUCAGAUCCUCAUGAAUAACAACAAACCUUUUGAAAAUGAGUGCUUCAUGGUAUUGAUUCCCCCUUCACCAAACUCUUGUAUAUUGACUUUUCCUACCGCCACCAUGGAGCAGCCUCUCAGAGCUAAGAUGCUGCCUCCAGGGUUGCAGUCCUCAUUUUGACCCAAAUAAAACUUAAUUCACAACUCUCAACUUGUACAACUGUACUUCCCUGGUGGCUCAGAUGGUAAAGCAUCUGCCUACAAUGCAGGAGACCCAGGUUCGAUCCCUGGGUUGGAAAGAUCCUCUGGAGAAGGCAAUGGCGACCCACUCCAGUACUCUUGUCUGGAAAAUCCCAUGGAUGGAGGAGCGUGGUAUGCUACAGUCCAUGGGGUCGCAAAGAGUUGGACGUGACUGAGCGACUUCACUUUUCUUUCUUUCUUUCUAAAGUCACAAAAGAUGGAAGUAGCAGAGAGGAUGUUUAAACCCAGGCCAGUCCGAUUCCAAAGCAAGCUCUGUCCACCACCCAGGGAGACCUGAGCAGGAGAGAGCCUAUAAUUGGGGCAGCCCCCGGGGAGAAGGACACUGCUGUGGGGCAGGAAUAGGGCACCGGGCCUUCUCAGGUCUCCUGAGGGCCUAGGUGAUAUCACCUCCCCAAGGGACUACUGGGCCCACCUCCCAGGCCUGGUCUGGUGUCCAGCAAUCUCCGGCAGCCUGGAGCGGAUGGACCCAAGAAUGAGGAGUGGCCAAAGAGACAGGGCAUGGGGUAUCAUGGUGGCGGGGAUCCCUGAAAGAACGGACCAUGACGUUCAAUGUGGGUGAGGACACAGAGAAGCCAAAAUAGGCUGGGGGGUUGCACUCUGCCCUUCCUCCCUCUGGGGAUCCCCUUGCCCCACCCCUGCAUGCGUCCUUGGCUGGCAAAUACUCUUUCCUCCCCUGGAAACCUCCUUACCUCCUCCUCCUUCAAGGGCAAGUUCAGAAGCCCCCUCUACCUACCUUGACCACCCUUCCUCCCACCCUUAGUUCCCUCUCUGGUCCCUAGAGUGCUAGAAACCAGAUUUUCUGACCCAGGAAUGGGAUGCAGGCCUAAGAUUUGUUCAUUCUAGUUUACUGACAUUCCCUCUACGGUCUCACCCAGUCUCAUCCAGCUUUAAAUACCAUUCAUACCUGACGCGCUGAAAUUGAUAUCUCCAGGCUGGACCUCUCCCCUGAGUUCCAGCCUCUGAUUACUCCACAUCUCCUUGUGAAUGUCUAAAAAGACAUCUCAAACCUGACGUGGCCAAAACUGAAGUCCUGGUCUUCCCCUUCCCCAUCCAUCUUCCUCCUUUCAAAGUUGUCUGCAUCUCAGUCGAAGGCACUCCAUUUUUCCAGGAGCACAAGCUAAAAACCUUGAAGAUGUCUUGGUUCUUCUCUUUCCCCCACACCCCAUAUCCAGUCCAUCGGGAGUCCUUGGAUCUUCCUUUAACAUGUGUCCAUGUCCUGAGCCCUUCUCCCACCUCCACUGCCACUCAGCUGGGGCAAGCACCAUCACUCUUGUAUGGAUUACAGCGGUGGCCUCUGCACUGCCCUGCCGUUGACCUGGCCCCUACACUCUUCUCAACCCAGCAGCCAGGUGGUCCUAUGAGCACAUAACCCAGGCCUUCUACUCCUUCCAGACUCUCUAAUAGCUCACUCUAAUUCCAGCCAAAGUGUUUUAAAAUCUACAAGCCUGGGCUUCCCUAGUAGCUAAGUAGUCAAGAAUCUAUCUGCCUGCCAAUGCAGGAGACACAGGUUUGAGCCCUGAUCUGGGAAGCUCCCACAUGCUUCAGGGAACUAAACCCAUGCAGCACAACUACCGAGCCUUUGCCCUAGAGCCGGGAAACCACAACCCCUGAAGCCCACGUGCCUCGAGCCUAUGUUCUGCAACGAGAGAAGCCACUGCUGUGAGAAGCCCGCGCACCGCAACUGGAGAGUAGCCCCCGCUUGCCACGACUAGAGGACAGCCUGAGAAUCGAAAAGGCUCAGCAUAGCCCAAAGUAAAGAAAUAAAUAACAUUAUCUUAAAAAAAAAACCCUACAAGCCCUAAAGAAUCCACCUCUAACUUGUCUGAUUUUCACUUCCCACCCUUCUCCCGCUGGCCCGCUUUGCUCCAGCCCACUGUGCAGCUUGUAGUUAGUUCCUCAAACAUUCCGAUCGUGCUCCUGCUGGGGAGUUUUGGACUACCUGCACCCCCAGCCUGGAAUGCCCUUCCCCUAGACGGCCUCUGGACUUUCUGCCUCCCCUCCUUCAGAUCUUGACUCGAAUGUCACUUCUUGUUUGCCUUCUCCGAACGUUUUAGUUAAAACUAUAAACCUGGGGACUUCUCUGCUGGUCCACUGGCUAAGAUUCUGUGCUCCCAAUGCAGGGGGCUCAGGUUCCACCCCUGGUCAUCGAAAUUGACCCCACUAAGCGUUCACAUGCUGCAACUAAAGAUCUUGCAAGUCAGGACUAAAGAUCCCGUGUACCACAGCUAAAACCCGAUGC